AGCACUGCGGGACCAGUAUAUUAAACUGAUUUUUGUAAAGCGACGGGAUGUUCGGGGCUCGCUCCACUCCCGUCACGGGUCGGCCCGGCAUUGCAGUGCCGCCGGGAUCGGCCCACCAUAU
rnacentral:snRNA from 1 species